AAGUCAACAGGAAGGUGGAUAUCCAAAUCUCUCUCUUCGCAAUGAGUUUCCAGUUAGAUGGAGGAGAGAGUAAUAAAACACAGAGCUGAGAUUCCUGACUUCACAGAUCCCUGAGGAGAUGUUUACUAAAGGGAAUCUUCUGGUCACUGUUACCUUCCUCCGUACUUACCUGCCUCAUGGAUAACACUGAAGAAUGCAGUUUACUUACAUCUUUUUCUGUUUGACAGAAGACAGUUAUUAGAACCCGAAAGGAAGAAGCUAUACGACUGGGGACACAUGUCUUAGAAGCACACUCAUUAGAUAAAGUGUCGCAUACUCUUUGAUAAG
rnacentral:misc_RNA from 1 species